CUUGAUCUUGAUAUCCUACGUGGAUAACUGUGGUAAUUCUAGAGCUAAUACAUGCACCAAAGCUCCGAUUUUCUGACGAGCGCAUCUAUUAGAUUAAAACCAAUCGGGUUUCGGCCCGUCAAUUGGUGACUCUGAAUAACUAUAGCUGAUCGCAUGGUCUCGAACCGGCGACGUGUCUAUCAAGUGUCUGCCUUAUCAACUGUCGAUGGUAGUUUAUGUGCCUACCAUGGUUGUAACGGGUAACGGAGAAUAAGGGUUCGACUCCGGAGAGGGAGCCUGAGAAACGGCUACCACAUCCAAGGAAGGCAGCAGGCGCGCAAAUUACCCACUCUCGGCAUGAGGAGGUAGUGACGAAAAAUAACGAGACCGUUCUCUAUGAGGCCGGUUAUCGGAAUGGGUACAAUUUAAACCCGUUAACGAGGAUCUAUGAGAGGGCAAGUCUGGUGCCAGCAGCCGCGGUAAUUCCAGCUCUCAAAGUGUAUAUCGUCAUUGCUGCGGUUAAAAAGCUCGUAGUUGGAUCUGCGCCUCAGGACCUGGUCCGCCCACUGGGCGAGAACUGGGCUCCUGGGCUAGUUCUGCUGGUUUUCCCUACGUUGCCUUCAUCGGUCGCGUAGGGUGGCUAGCGAGUUUACUUUGAAAAAAUUAGAGUGCUUCACGCGGGCUUAUGUCUGAAUACUCGUGCAUGGAAUAAUAGAAUAGGAUCUCGGUUCUAUUUUGUUGGUUUUCUGAUCUGAGAUAAUGGUUAAGAGGGACGGACGGGGGCAUUCGUAUCGCUGCGUGAGAGGUGAAAUUCUUGGACCGUAGCGAGACGUCCGACUGCGAAAGCAUUUGCCAAGAAUGUCUUCAUUAAUCAAG
rnacentral:rRNA from 1 species